UCUGAAGAGUCUCCUUGCGGUCCUCGGCUUCAUCUUCCUAACAGUUGCACCGAUUGCUUCCCUUGUCUAACCCCAUGCCAAUUUCCCUCACUUAUUGCUCUUCUCUGCUAAAGCAACAGAUUUUAGGUGCCACUAAUAUUCCCUCCGUCUAUUUCCCUAGCUAAAUCCUAGGCGAUAUCCGUCUCUUGCAAAGUUGAGUUUUAGCAUGGUGUGUUCAUGGAGAAGAAAAGGACUUGGGGUUACAAUUUCUUAGCGAAGAUUUUGGUGGGACAAAAGAUGAUUCUUGUAUUACAAAUUUAUUCAAGUGCAACAGCACUGAUCAGUCUUGGAUAUAUUUAUUUGUAAAUUGGUUUAUUUGUCAUAAAUUUAUAGUUGGAAAUAGUUAACUCUACAUUGUGAAUUGUGUUUAACUUCUCUCUGUUGUCUUUGGUUUGAGGUGAAUGAUAUUACACACUCUCCAAAAGAUUAAAAUAAAUCUUUCGGAAAAUAGUAAAUUUGGUCCCUAAAUUGGUUGUUUUUUUGAACCUCUUUUGUUUGGAAA